rnacentral:rRNA from 1 species
AUUGAACGCUGGCGGCAGGCCUAACACAUGCAAGUCGAGCGGAUGAAGGGAGCUUGCUCCUGGAUUCAGCGGCGGGCGGGUGAGUAAUGCCUAGGAAUCUGCCUGGUAGUGGGGGAUAACGUCCGGAAACGGGCGCUAAUACCGCAUACGUCCUGAGGGAGAAAGUGGGGGAUCUUCGGACCUCACGCUAUCAGAUGAGCCUAGGUCGGAUUAGCUAGUUGGUGGGGUAAAGGCCUACCAAGGCGACGAUCCGUAACUGGUCUGAGAGGAUGAUCAGUCACACUGGAACUGAGACACGGUUCAGACUCCUACGGGAGGCAGCAGUGGGGAAUAUUGGACAAUGGGCGAAAGCCUGAUCCAGCCAUGCCGCGUGUGUGAAGAAGGUCUUCGGAUUGUAAAGCACUUUAAGUUGGGAGGAAGGGCAGUAAGUUAAUACCUUGCUGUUUUGACGUUACCAACAGAAUAAGCACCGGCUAACUUCGUG